UGAAUACGAGACGCUAAGGCGUCGAAGUAGUGUAUGUCAUACUUCCAAGAAAAGCUUGCACUGUCAUAGAUAAAAAACGCCUGUACCAUAACCGACACAGGUGGGUAGGUAGAGUAUACUAAGGGGCGCGAGAUAACUCUCUCUAAGGAACUCGGCAAAAUAACUCCGUAACUUCGGGAGAAGGAGUGCCUUAUUCGUAAGGUUGCAAUAACAAGAUCCAAGCAACUUUUAUCAAAAACACAGGUCUCCGCUAAGUCGUAAGACGAUGUAUGGGGGCUGACGCCUGCCCAGUGCCAGAAGGUCAAAGAAGUUGGUUAGCAAUUGCGAAGCUGAUAACUGAAGCCCUGGUGAACGGCGGCCGUAACAAUAACGGUCCUAAGGUAGCGGAAUUCCUUGUCGGGUAAGUUCCGACCCGCACGAAAGGCGUAAUGAUUUGGAUACUGUCUCGGAGAGGGGCUCGGUGAAAUAGACUUGUCUGUGAAGAUGCGGACUACCUGCACCAGGACAGAAAGACCCUAUGAAGCUUUACUGUAACUUGAAAUUGAAAUUGGACUUUAUUCGCGCAGUAUAGGUGGGAGGCGUUGAUUAUAAUCUUGUGGGAUUAUUGGAGCCAUCAGUGAGAUACCACUCUUGUAAUGUUAGAUUUCUAACUUUGAAUCAUUAUCUGGUCAAAGAACAGUUUCAGGCGGGCAGUUUGACUGGGGCGGUCGCCUCCUAAACGGUAACGGAGGCGUACAAAGGUUUCCUCUGAACGGUUAGAAAUCGUAUCUAGAGUGUAAAGGCAUAAGGAAGCUUGACUGUGAGACCUACAAGUCGAGCAGGGACGAAAGUCGGUCUUAGUGAUCUGACGGUACUGAGUGGAAAGGCCGUCACUCAACGGAUAAAAGUUACUCUAAGGAUAACAGGCUGAUCUCCCCCAAGAGUUCACAUCGACGGGGAGGUUUGGCACCUCGAUGUCGGCUCAUCGCAUCCUGGGGCGGUAGUACGUCCCAAGGGUUGGGCUGUUCGCCCAUGAAAGCGGUACGCGAGCUGGGUUCAGAACGCCGUGAGACAGUUCGGUCCAUAUCCGGUGUAGGCGUUAGAAUAUUGAGAGGAGCCUUCUUUAGUACGAGAGGACCGAGAAGGACAUACCUCUGGUGUACCAGUUAUCGUGCCAACGGUAAACGCUGGGUAGCUAUGUAUGGAGUGGAUAACCGCUGAAAGCAUCUAAGUGGGAAGCCCACCUCAAGAUAAGUAUUCGC
rnacentral:rRNA from 1 species